CCUACUUUUCAUUCUGUUUGCGACAAAGAAGAAGGAGCUAGCAAUCUUAUUAGAAACUAGAAAAGUUGACGUCAUGCAUGUAUUCCACAAUCGGCAAUUCUAUUAGACACUAAUACUAAUAAAGUGAACAAAAUUAAUGAAUUAAUCGCAUUGAAGAAGAAAACAGAUUACUGUAUACCUGGAAUGAAAGAUAUGUGCUCUAUAUUUUAGAAUUGUACGAGUUUGCCUCCACUAUAAGAACUUAACUGGUUCGGGGGACUUCAACUGGUAGACCUGUGUAUAGGGAGGAAGUAGGAAUUGGGACGAAUAAAGAAUUGGGGCGAACGAGAAAUUGGGGGAAAUGAAGAAUUGGUACAAACGAGAAAUUAGGAGAAAGGAGAAACUGGAGUGAAGAAGAAAUUGUGAAGAAUUGGCAGUUUUGUGUACAGCGACUUUAUACGGCUGUUAGGGUUUUUAUGGGAAACCAGAUGUUUUUGAAAAAACGAGGUGACAUCUAUAAAUUGAGAUCUGUGAAGGCUACAAAACCAUUUUAAUCAGCAUUAUAAUGCCGAACCAAUGGAAUAAAAAAGCAAACAGUUUAGUCUGUCUUGACGUUUAUAUAGAUGGCUUUUUUGGAGAAUCGAUAUAAGUAAUCUUAGAACCUUAAGUAACCGCCAAAAUGUGUACCUAUUUUAAUUAUUUUCGUUUGUGUAAUCCAAAAUGGAAGCCACUCUCAAUAUGUUCAACAUUUCGCUGGACCUGCUCUUCUUACAAUUAGAUCAGCUUUUGACAAUUGGAUAAUAGAGACCGAGUUAAAAAUAUAAGGGUAAUUGUACUUUUUUGUAUAGGAUGGAACCCAUGGAUUCCAUUCAACACUUAUCGCUGAAGAUGUGAGAACUUUGACAAAGAAGAAACAACUACAAACUUUGACUUCAAGAAGGAAUACUUUUAUUGGUGUGAAUCUUUUAGUUAAGCUCCCGGAAUACUUAUUGAACCGAAGAUUUGUUA